rnacentral:lncRNA from 13 species
UAACUAAAUUUUAUAAGCUUAUGCUAUUUUAUAAGCUUAGCAAUGCUAUUGAUUAUGAACAUUAUUGUAUAAAAUAUAAGUGGGUGACUUAUAAUACAUAUAAUGUCUAACUAACGUCGGCUUAUCGCUUCCGUUUAGCGCGGUUGACAAUGAUCUCACGUACGUUUCACAGAAUGAGCCUUGCAAAACGCGAUUCCGUCGAUAUACCGAACCACGUGGUACUCGUUAAUCGGAUUGUGUCACGUCUACAUAUCGAAAGACGACCGAAUAAUCGAUGUACCGAUUCACCGUAGUAAUAGUAACAUAGUAACACAUGCGACGACGUCACGCGGCCAACCAGGUCGGCAUCUGAGUGUCCUCACGGCCGGAGCGUGCUCCGACUUCCACAAACGAUCUAAAUCAAGUCAGAGCAUGUGGGAACCAAUAAUACUACGCCACGUUAAAAGCUAGAGAAAUGAGUAAUCGGAGAACCGCUUGGUAACCACAGUAAAGUCACUAAGUCUCCGGAUAUAUGGGACGGAAAAGAAAACUUAGUAAUUUCAAAGGAAACUCGUGACUUCUCGUCGAAAUAGCUUUCGACGAGAUCCAAGGUUAAAUAAAUUCUAGCGUGUAAUAAAAUUGGAAAAUUGGUUAAAAUCAUUAAAAAAUUUGACGCUCCAACAACUGUCACCAGAAUGAAGUCAAAGUUUAGCGCUAACCUAAUCAUAAUAUGAAAGAUUCGCGAUGAAGCGGACAAAUCUCAUCGUCAGACCAUAACGAGUCUUCAUAACAAGUCAUUAUUUGUAGUAGACUGUUUGGCUACAUCGAGAAGGUCAGUAUACACUUGGCCGAGUUGUAACUUGUCAAUCAAUGUUUUCAAUGUAACCUUCUCGACAUUUAUCGACUAGCUGAGUGUUCAAAUUUCAACCACAAACAAAGCAGGAAUUUAAGUAUAGAACGACCCUGAUGUUCUAAAGACUGGUAAAGAAUAUCGGAGAUUUUCAACGGCUAAUAAAUAAAAAUUUCCUGCA